CCGUGGUAGUCACGCUGUAAACGAUGUCGAUUUGGAGUUUGUUGCCUAGAGUGAUGGGCUCCGAAGCUAACGCGAUAAAUCGACCGCUGGGGAGUACGGCCGCAAGGUUAAAACUCAAAUGAAUUGACGGGGGCCCGCACAAGCGGUGGAGCAUGUGGUUUAAUUCGAUGCAACGCGAAGAACCUUACCUGGUCUUGACAUCCAUAGAAUUCUGCAGAGAUGUGGGAGUGCCUUCGGGAACUAUGAGACAGGUGCUGCAUGGCUGUCGUCAGCUCGUGUUGUGAAAUGUUGGGUUAAGUCCCGCAACGAGCGCAACCCUUAUUCUUUGUUGCCAGCGAUUUGGUCGGGAACUCAAAGGAGACUGCCGUUGAUAAAGCGGAGGAAGGUGGGGACGACGUCAAGUCAUCAUGGCCCUUACGACCAGGGCUACACACGUGCUACAAUGGCGUAUACAAAGGGAAGCGAAGGUGCGAGCUGGAGCGGAUCUCAUAAAGUACGUCUAAGUUCGGAUUGGAGUCUGCAACUCGACUCCAUGAAGUCGGAAUCGCUAGUAAUCGUAGAUCAGAAUGCUACGGUGAAUACGUUCCCGGGCCUUGUACACACCGCCCGUCACACCAUGGGAGUGGGUUGCACCAGAAGUAGAUAGCUUAACCGCGAGGGGGGCGUUUACCACGGUGUGAUCCAUGACUGGGGUGAAGUCGUAACAAGGUAACCA
rnacentral:rRNA from 1 species